rnacentral:rRNA from 1 species
CCUAGGGGGGCAGCAGUGGGGAAUAUUGGACAAUGGGCGAAAGCCUGAUCCAGCCAUGCCGCGUGUGUGAAGAAGGCCUUCGGGUUGUAAAGCACUUUCAGUGGGGAAGAAAGCCUUGGGGCUAAUACCCUCGAGGAAGGACAUCACCCACAGAAGAAGCACCGGCUAACUCCGUGCCAGCAGCCGCGGUAAUACGGAGGGUGCGAGCGUUAAUCGGAAUUACUGGGCGUAAAGCGCGCGUAGGCGGUCUGAUAAGCCGGUUGUGAAAGCCCCGGGCUCAACCUGGGAACGGCAUCCGGAACUGUCAGGCUAGAGUGCAGGAGAGGAAGGUGGAAUUCCCGGUGUAGCGGUGAAAUGCGUAGAGAUCGGGAGGAAUACCAGUGGCGAAGGCGGCCUUCUGGACUGACACUGACGCUGAGGUGCGAAAGCGUGGGUAGCAAACAGGAUUAGAUACCCCAGUAGUC